rnacentral:tRNA from 1 species
UAGAUUAAAGUCCGCCGGUYUGGACAGCUAGCUGUUAAUUAGUUUUUGUGGGAUCAAGGCCCGCUAAUCUAG